rnacentral:lncRNA from 1 species
AAAAAAGAUCAUUCUGUUUCUUUUUUCUAAAAGAAAAGCAGUGUCUCUCGUUUUUUUUAACCCAUUAUUUGGCCGCCAUUUAACCGUGCGCCAAGGCCCCGAUUGUGACGGAGAUGGCACCGGCUCGACGACUUCGGCGAUUAGGUGAGUUUCCCCUUUCCCUUUUACAUUUUAAGAGAAAAAUAACUAAAAAAUAAAGGAAAAAAAAUAAAAACAAAACCGAUAACUAAGAAUGACGAACACCAAAUAAAUAAAUGGAAAAAAAACCUUUUUGUAUUCAAAAAUCUCUUUAUAUCUCCCCCUUUUACACUGAAAAUAUUGGCCUUUUAUAGCCGAAAAUGGAAAAGAAAACUAAAUCCAAACAAAUCUAUUCGGUUGUUUGUUGGCUCGAUUUUUGCUCUUCUCUUUCGCUUGUUGCAGGUACGUGCUUGAGGAGCGACAUUUGCGGAGGUGUGGCGUGCGUAGAGGAGCGCGAAGAGGCAGUAGUUGCGGCGCCAGAUUGCUAGUGGCCGCUGGGGCAGAAGCAGCUACGGCGCUGAAGCAGAAAGGGCUAGGGUUUCUGCACUGGGCUAGGGUUAAUGUAAUUGGGCUGAAUUUUUGGGUUUAGUCUGCAGAUGGGUAAUUAGGUUAAUUUUGGGCCUUAAAAUGUCUUACGGGCCUGGGCAUAGAAAUUGGGUAUUACAGGUAUCAAAUUGGAAUAUUUGUUAUAGUAAAAAGGCCACUCAUGAAAUUAUCCGUUUAUAAUUUCUUUGUAUUUUUCUUUUGUUAUGGAAUAUAUUAUUAUAUUAAACAUUUAAUAUAAAAUUUCGGAUAAUUUCAAUAGACGUUCCCAAGCUAUGACCAAAAUUUUAAAAUAAUCUUUAAACUUCAAAAUAUUUAAAAUUUAUCUUUAAAGUGUCAAUAUCGUAUCAUCU